rnacentral:rRNA from 1 species
CCUACGGGCGGCUGCAGUGAGGAAUAUUGGUCAAUGGACGAGAGUCUGAACCAGCCAAGUAGCGUGAAGGAUGACUGCCCUAUGGGUUGUAAACUUCUUUUAUAUGGGAAUAAAACGUUCCACGUGUGGGAUUUUGUAUGUACCAUAUGACUAAGGAUCGGCUAACUCCGUGCCAGCAGCCGCGGUAAUACGGAGGAUCCGAGCGUUAUCCGGAUUUAUUGGGUUUAAAGGGAGCGUAGGUGGAUUGUUAAGUCAGUUGUGAAAGUUUGCGGCUCAACCGUAAAAUUGCAGUGGAAACUGGCAGUCUUGAGUACAGUAGAGGUGGGCGGAAUUCGUGGUGUAGCGGUGAAAUGCUUAGAUAUCACGAAGAACUCCGAUUGCGAAGGCAGUUCACUGGACUGCAACUGACACUGAGGCUCGAAAGUGUGGGUAUCAAACAGGAUUAGAUACCCUUGUAGUC